AAUGGAUUUUAUUGGUCAAUGUGGCAUUUAUUUGAACUAACGCCAACUUCACUGCUAAUGGAAUUAUUUGUUCUCAUUGCGGUGGUAGAGUGUGGUAAUUCUUAUUGGUUCUCCGAAGGCGGGAUUUUAUCGGAUUUGUUGAGAAGUUACGUAUGUACACGAGAUUCGUAGAGUCCGCUGGUUGCAUACAAAUUUGUGAGUUAUAGUUGUCACACUUGUAAAAUGUACCAUUUUUUGGAGUUGGUGAAACCAGGUGAAAAGAAUAGAAAAGAAGUGAUAUUUUUAAAAAUUCUCGCUAGUCAUUGAGAAUUAAAGUUAAAGGCAUUUACAGCACGAAAGAAAGUGGAUCUUCACCGUUCCAUUCUUUUAUCUCUUUCUCUUUUUUUCCAAUAAUUUACGAGCAGCGAUCGACUUUUAAGAUAGAAUCAUCGCACGCUAUAUAAUGACGGCAAUAAAUGUGAAUUGGUUGCAUUCUGUCGAGGGAGAAUCACUAAUGCAUCAUUUUUAUGUAAACACAUCAAAGAAAAGGAGAUUUUAUGGUAUUCUUGAAAGACCUCCCCUACCAUCUUCAAUCGAAGAAGUUACAUAUAAAAUUUUUAUGGUUGGGAGAUCUGGAGUAGGAAAAACUGCUGUUGUAGCUCGUCUUGCUGGAGUAUUAGAAUCCAGUAAUUAUACUGAAACUAAUGGGAUAAAAAAGACGAAUGUAUUUUGGCCGGUUAAGAUAUGGGACAAAGUUGUGUUGUUUAAAUUACAGUUCUGGGAUACCUCGGAAACAAGCAUUAAAAAAUAUAAUCACAUAUUGCCCGCUUGUAAAGACAAAGUAGAUGCUAUAUGUUCUGUAUUUUCUUUCGACGAUGCGACAGGAUUUAAUGACGUUCCAUAUUUGAUGAAUACUAUGGCAGCUAUAAAAGAAAAACCAGCAAAUAUAGUGAUAGGGACAAAAUUUAAACCAUGGUCGAGUUCUACGAUAGAAGACACACGUAUAAAAGAAUUUGAAGACAAAUGGAAAGUAAAAGUUAUUAGAAUUGAUAUUAAUAAACCUUCUAUGAGAUCUGAAGUGUUUGAUUGUUCUUAUCAGUUGAAUACUAUAUGUAACAUUCUUUGGAAUAGGGAUAAAGAAUUUAUAUCUAAACAAAUGGGACAAAGCUAGCAAAUUUUUUAUUGGAUUUCUAUAAUACUCCGAAACAUUUUUUAUACGAGAUUUAAUAAAGGGCAAGAAAUAUUCUCAACAUCCCAACACAAUGUAUCUAGGAAUUCUGGGCGAGUAAACGUUGUCAGUACUGAAAGCUAAAUUCACGAGCGUUACGCUUGUUUGUUACAAUUACUGGCGGCAAAGUUACCGAUUUACCGAUUCGAUUGUUUCUUUUUCCACAAAACAGACAUUACGACACUUUAGAGAUCUUAAAGGUACAUGUGCAGGUGUGUUGCAUCGUAUUCAUGAUUACACAACACAAUCGAGAGAUUAGUAACAUUAUUCGAUUUACACUAAAGUUUUAUUAUUUAGGUUAUAGUAUUUUAAUGUGUAGAUUCUAUAUUUCCUUAAGUAUUACUUGUCUCCAACGGUACUUGUAAAUUCGGAGAAAUCUUAUAAAUAUUUAUCCGUUUGUCAGUUACGUUAUUGAACGAUGAUAUUUUGAUUGGUUUUUCAUUACUGACUCAUGCGCUGUAAAACAUGGCGUGGUUUACAAGCGCGCGUAAAACAAAUCACUACCGCGAGAACGUGUAUAGAUAGACCGAUAAAAUUUCCGUGGUAUUACGUUAUAUUUUUAUUUCUAAAUGUAAAAUAUAA